ACUGUAAUUUUGAAGAGUAAAUAAAGAGCCAUCAAAUCCUAGCAAAACAAACUAGACACGUUUGGGUUUUAUUUUCCACUCCAUCAUUUUCUCCAGCUGAGGCUUUUCCAGGUGUGAGACAUAAUAAGAGACCUUAUUAAAAGGUUAGUCUCUAAAAAAAUGUAUAGAUCUAGUCAGAUUUACUUAAUACUGUAUUUUACUGACAUUCAUUUAGAUUUCUCAAGUCCCCAUGUAUUUUUAUUUGCACACAUCUGUCAAAUUUAGACAUUUCCUUAAAUACUUUAACAUCAUUUUAUUCAUUUUCAGUUGUCAAAAUAUCCUUAAACUUACAUGGCUCAUUUAAAAUAUUACGGAAAAAGACAAAUUAAAGGAAAAUUAUAUAAAUUAUUUAAUCCAAUGUCUUUUAUUGGUAAAAUAUGCUUUAUUAUAUUCAUAUUUGUUCACUGAUAUUGAUGAUAAUGUAACCAGUAAAUCAUUUAAAUAUGUUUAAUUCAAUGUGACCUAGACCCAGACAAGGGAAUAAGAUGGAUGAAUUCAACUAAAUAUUCAUAAUAUUUGAUUCAUUAAUUCACCCCAGUCUCAUUUUACAGUGGUGACCAGACCUCCACAUUUAGAUACAUUUCUGAAUGUGACUUGCCCUUCACUCCCCUAUCACCACAUCCUCGGGUCUUAGUCAAAUGGAGAUAACGAAGCACCCAUAACAUUUGGAGUGAACUAAAAUGAAGUGGCAUCCAGUAAAAAAAACGCAGAAUAAUUUCACUGCAGACCUGAGCAUUUAUU